UACAAUUGUCUGAGUUUGUUUAAUCAUAGCUUGUCCAGUUGCCUACUACAGGUCGGAGUAAAUCCUGAAGAAAAAAUGGUGUUGUUCUAUUUAGUAGGAA